rnacentral:rRNA from 1 species
GACGAACGCUGGCGGCGUGCCUAAUACAUGCAAGUCGAGCGAAGCGGCGGAUGGGUGAGCAACGCGUGGGUAACCUGCCCUUAAUUCUGGGAUACCAUUUGGAAACAUAUGCUCAUACCGGAUACUAAAGGAUGGACCUGCGAGGCAUUACCUAGUUGGUAAGGUAACGGCUUACCAAGGCGAUGAUGCAUAGCUGGGUUGAGAGACUGAUCGGCCACAUUGGGACUGAGACACGGCCCAAAUUCCUACGGGAGGCAGCAGUAGGGAAUAUUGGGCAAUGGACGAAAGUCUGACCGAGCAACGCCGCGUGAGUGAAGAAGGUUUUCGGAUCGUAAAACUCUGUUGGUGGAGAAGCGGUAUCUAACCAGAAAGCAACGGCUAACUACGUGCCAGCAGCCGCGGUAAUAC